CCGGCUAACUACGUGCCAGCAGCCGCGGUAAAACGUAGGGGACAAGCGUUAUCCGGAUUCACUGGGCGUAAAGAGCGUUGAGGCGGUUCCGUAAGUUGGGCGUGAAAGCUCCGGGCUUAACUCGGAGAUGUCGUUCAAUACUGCGGGGCUUGAGGACAGCAGAGGAAGGUGGAAUUCCCGGUGUAGUGGUGAAAUGCGUAGAUAUCGGGAGGAACACCCGUGGCGAAGGCGGCCUUCUGGGCUGUUCCUGACGCUGAAGGCGAAAGCUAGGGGAGCGAACGGGAUUAGAUACCCCGGUAGUCCUAGCUGUAAACGAUGGAUGCUGGGUGUGGGGGGUGUAAAUUCCCUCUGUGCCGAAGCAAACGCGUUAAGCAUCCCGCCUGGGGACUACGGCCGCAAGGCUAAAACUCAAACGAAUUGACGGGGGCCCGCACAAGCAGCGGAGCGUGUGGUUUAAUUCGAUGCUACACGAAGAACCUUACCUGGGUUUGACAUGCACGUGGUAGGGAACCGAAAGGGGACCGACCUUCGGGAGCGUGCACAGGUGCUGCAUGGCUGUCGUCAGCUCGUGCCGUGAGGUGUCGGGUUAAGUCCCGUAACGAGCGCAACCCUUGCCCUUAGUUACAAGUGUCUAAGGGGACUGCCCGGGACAACUGGGAGGAAGGUGGGGAUGACGUCAAGUCAGCAUGGCCUUUAUAUCCAGGGCUACACACACGCUACAAUGGCCGGUACAAUAGGUUGCGAAGUCGUGAGGCGGAGCCAAUCCUCAAAGCCGGUCUCAGUUCGAAUUGCAGUCUGCAACUCGACUGCAUGAAGCUGGAGUUGCUAGUAAUCGCAGGUCAGCUAUACUGCGGUGAAUACGUUCCCGGGCAUUGUACACACCGCCCGUCACGUCAUGGAAGCUGGCAACGCACUGAAGCCGGUGAGCUAAC
rnacentral:rRNA from 1 species